UCCGUAGGUGAACCUGCGGAGGGAUCAUUG
rnacentral:ncRNA from 16 species